GCCCCGGGGAGCUGGAAGCUGAGAACUUCAGCCCCGCCGCCCGGUCCCGGCGCGCCCGGACCCAGGUCUGCAGACGCCGAGCCAACGACAGCCAAGCGGGUUAAGGGCGCGCACGUGGGCUUCCCGGGAGGCUCUUCAGGCCAAUUCAUGACCGGGUCCAUCUAAGGAGAAGAACAGAGUAGCUUAACCCUGCCUUCCAAGGAGACCACAGUGGAAGCCCUAUUUCCCAACACUGUGAGCAAUGGCUUGAAGGAAACCCCAGGGGCCUGUGUGGCUAUUACAAAACUCUUGCACAAUCGUCUUAACCAGGGUAGUCGUAUUUCACCAUCGUUAAAAAAUGGCUGGUUAUGUAGUGCAUCUGAGAGGAGGGAAUGUUAUGAAUUAAAGAUUCUAUCAAAA